UCUGCGAAGGGGGGACGGAGAAGGCUAUGUUGGCCGGGCGACGGUUGUCCCGGUUUAAGCGUGUAGGCUGGUUUUCCAGGCAAAUCCGGAAAAUCAAGGCUGAGGCGUGAUGACGAGGCACUACGGUGCUGGAGCAACAAAUGCCCUGCUUCCAGGAAAAGCCUCUAAGCAUCAGGUAACAUCAAAUCGUACCCCAAACCGACACAGGUGGUCAGGUAGAGAAUACCAAGGCGCUUGAGAGAACUCGGGUGAAGGAACUAGGCAAAAUGGCGCCGUAACUUCGGGAGAAGGCACGCUGAUAUGUAGGUGAAGCGACUUGCUCGUGGAGCUGAAAUCAGUCGAAGAUACCAGCUGGCUGCAACUGUUUAUUAAAAACACAGCACUGUGCAAACACGAAAGUGGACGUAUACGGUGUGACGCCUGCCCGGUGCCGGAAGGUUAAUUGAUGGGGUUAGCGUAAGCGAAGCUCUUGAUCGAAGCCCCGGUAAACGGCGGCCGUAACAAUAACGGUCCUAAGGUAGCGAAAUUCCUUGUCGGGUAAGUUCCGACCUGCACGAAUGGCGUAAUGAUGGCCAGGCUGUCUCCACCCGAGACUCAGUGAAAUUGAACUCGCUGUGAAGAUGCAGUGUACCCGCGGCAAGACGGAAAGACCCCGUGAACCUUUACUAUAGCUUGACACUGAACAUUGAGCCUUGAUGUGUAGGAUAGGUGGGAGGCUUAGAAGUGUGGACGCCAGUCUGCAUGGAGCCGACCUUGAAAUACCACCCUUUAAUGUUUGAUGUUCUAACGUUGACCCGUAAUCCGGGUUGCGGACAGUGUCUGGUGGGUAGUUUGACUGGGGCGGUCUCCUCCUAAAGAGUAACGAAGGAGCACGAAGGUUGGCUAAUCCUGGUCGGACAUCAGGAGGUUAGUGCAAUGGCAUAAGCCAGCUUGACUGCGAGCGUGACGGCGCGAGCAGGUGCGAAAGCAGGUCAUAGUGAUCCGGUGGUUCUGAAUGGAGGGCCAUCGCUCAACGGAUAAAAGGUACUCCGGGGAUAACAGGCUGAUACCGCCCAAGAGUUCAUAUCGACGGCGGUGUUUGGCACCUCGACGUCGGCUCAUCACAUCCUGGGGCUGAAGUAGGUCCCAAGGGUAUGGCUGUUCGCCAUUUAAAGUGGUACGCGAGCUGGGUUUAGAACGUCGUGAGACAGUUCGGUCCCUAUCUGCCGUGGGCGCUGGAGAACUGAGGGGGGCUGCUCCUAGUACGAGAGGACCGGAGUGGACGCAUCACUGGUGUUCGGGUUGUCAUGCCAAUGGCACUGCCCGGUAGCUAAAUGCGGAAGAGAUAAGUGCUGAAAGCAUCUAAGCACGAAACUUGCCCCGAGAUGAGUUCUCCCUGACCCUUUAAGGGUCCUGAAGGAACGUUGAAGACGACGACGUUGAUAGGCCGGGUGUGUAAGCGCAGCGAUGCGUUGAGCUAACCGGUACUAAUGAACCGUGAGGCUUAACC
rnacentral:rRNA from 1 species